rnacentral:tRNA from 1 species
GGGGAUUUAGCUCAGUUGGGAGAGCGCCUGCCUUGCAAGCAGGAGGUCACGAGUUCGACUCUCGUAAUCUCCA